GGGGUGGUACUGACUUAAGAAAGUGGUGUUGAUUUGCAAGGUGAAACUGACUUGGGGAGGUGGUACCUCAGCACCCUGCGAGAAGAACACAAGGAACUGAACUGCAGUGGGAUUCGAACCCGGGGAAUGGUGCUGCCCAUGAUGGAUGGCAUUGCCUCACAGGCACGCCCACUGGCCAACCUGAUCUAGGUGUCCCUCACUGAGAUUCUCCUCGCAGAUACAAACUUGUAGAAGAGAAGGUCUAACCAAGCUGGCCUGGGCUGUGGACAACCACCACAUGGGCAAAUGGGAAGGAGUGGUCAACAGCGCACUACGCUAUGCAGGAUGGAGACAAGGCAGCACCUUUACCAGGGGAGAGAGUACCCCAAGUUCAUUAUCAUCUCCUGUGCUUCUAUAGCCACCUCUCACAUGGAGGGUGCUUUUGAUUCUCUCUUAGCGUCUGUCUAGGCACUAGUCCAGGAGGACAGAAAAAGGACUCCACUGUCUUAUGUUCAGAGACAAUAUGGAAGCUCCCAGACCAGAGCAUGACUGAUACUCAAUAAAUAUUGAGCAAUUGA